AAUCAGCCCAUAACACCCAUGGAGAGUUUUGCAGUGCAGGGCACAUCCCAGCUGAGCCUCUCAGAGGAGGCAUGUGGGUUUGAAAGACACAAUAAAGACUUUUCAAACCACUAAUGUGGUUUGUGUGGCACCUGAAAGUGUCCCCAGGCAAACAGGCUCUGCCUGGUGGCAAUGAAAUGCCUGAAAUGCUGCCUGGGCCCUGGCACAGGUUUGGAACCCUUUCAGCCCAAGGAUUAAAGAAGCACACUUUGAAAAAGAAGUGUUUUGACACGUGAUCAUGACCUGCUAUUGCUGUUUGCCACCUCCUCCUUUCAUUCAGUUUCUGGCUGGCUGGGUGACUUCUCCUGCCUGUGCUGAUGUCAAUGCUAUGCAAAGCAGAGUGGGCAUCCUGAGCCUGCCCUUUCCUCUCUGGAAAUCUCUCCUUACAGCUUCCCUUUGCUAUCUGAGCAAGCAAGAAAUGGCUGUAAGAACUACUGGCUACUGUACAGGAAGAUUUAAUGGAAUGACCUGUGGUGGUUGCAGUGAAAUAAAACAUAAAAACAGAGACAGCAGAAGGCAUGAAGAAGCAGAACCUACCAUGGAUUUUCUGCACAGAAAAAAGGUGUGA
rnacentral:lncRNA from 1 species